rnacentral:rRNA from 1 species
UACGGAGGGUGCAAGCGUUAAUCGGAAUUACUGGGCGUAAAGCGCACGCAGGCGGUUUGAUAAGUUUGAUGUGAAAUCCCCGGGCUUAACCUGGGAAUUGCAUUUAAAACUGUAAAGCUAGAGUGCUGUAGAGGGAGAGAGAAUUCCAGGUGUAGCGGUGAAAUGCGUAGAUAUCUGGAGGAAUACCGGUGGCGAAGGCGGCCCCCUGGACAAAGACUGACGCUGAGGGGCGAAAGCGUGGGGAGCAAACAGG